rnacentral:rRNA from 1 species
CAGCCGCCGCGGUAAUACAGAGGGUGCAAGCGUUAAUCGGAAUUACUGGGCGUAAAGCGCGCGUAGGUGGUUCGCCAAGUUGGAUGUGAAAUCCCCGGGCUCAACCUGGGAACUGCGUCCAAAACUGGCGAGUUAGAGUAUGGUAGAGGGUGGUGGAAUUUCCUGUGUAGCGGUGAAAUGCGUAGAUAUAGGAAGGAACAUCAGUGGCGAAGGCGACCACCUGGACUGAUACUGACGCUCAUGCACGAAAGCGUGGGGAGCAAACAGGAUUAGAUACCCGCGUAGUCCCUGUCUCUUAUAC